UACGAAGGGGGCUAGCGUUGCUCGGAACCACUGGGCGUAAAGGGUGCGUAGGCGGGUUUUUAAGUCAGGGGUGAAAUCCUGGAGCUCAACUCCAGAACUGCCUUUGAUACUGAAAAUCUUGAGUCCGGGAGAGGUGAGUGGAACUGCGAGUGUAGAGGUGAAAUUCGUAGAUAUUCGCAAGAACACCAGUGGCGAAGGCGGCUCACUGGCCCGGUACUGACGCUGAGGCACGAAAGCGUGGGGAGCAAACAGG
rnacentral:rRNA from 1 species